UCUCACUGCACUUGGAGAAGGUGAAUUGCCGGCUGUAUUUUUAGCCACUGUGUGUGGGUCAGGGGCUCCCACCUGGCACAAGCCACCAUGGCUGGUCCCCAGGGGAAUCAAGGUGAUGCCCACGAAGCAAGGGCUUCCACUGCAGCCACUUCCAAAUAAAUGUCCCACGCUGGGCUGCAGCCAUCUCUCCUUGAAGGCCCAGGACACGAGGACAAAACGCAGGAGGUUGGAACCCUGGUUAACUCAAGGCCACUCCUUCCUGAUCAAAAUCUCUUCCUUUGGCUCUGCCCACCUUCAGCUCAGGAGUGGAGUUCGGGUGCUGGACCCCCAGAGCGGCCUAUGGAAAGGCCUUCCAGCAGCUGGGCCGGCUCAGCUCUUGGGGAAAGCUGGGCUAUUAGGAAGUGACUGCACACCCCUCCCUCCUUGCUCUUGCCCCCAGGCCUGACUCCUUUGAGAAAGGAAGUGCUGGAGAAAGACUUCAAAGUCUUGCUUUCAAAAGGGAAAUCACAUCUAGAAAGCUUUUCUCAGAAUGAGAAAGAAACAAAUUAUUUGAUUUGAAAGAGGAGUAACUCUUAAGGCCAACGAAGGAGGAGGAUCAAAGACCAAGUUCAUGUCAACUUCAGAAGCGAUCCUUUCCAGCGGAACAUGACAUUACUCUUCCGAUUCACUCAACGCUUCUGGAGAGGGUGCGUUUACUGGAGGAUCAAAAUAAAGAAGCGAGUCGGCCUUCCAAAAAGUCACGUGGUCCCUCCCCUCCCCCACCUCGUGGAGCGCCGGGGCUCCCGGGCUCCGGCCGCCGGCACCGACUCCCACCGCCCCGCGUGCGCGCGGCAGCGGCGGCGACUGCGAGUCCCGACCCGCCGGCCCUUGCGCACUUGGGGGGAAGUCCGUGGGUAGGGGCGACAGAAAGUGGCUGAGAACCCGAUGACCCGAGAAAGCAGCUCGCGUCGGGCCCUCCUUUUUUCCUGCCCGCGCCCGGUCUCCCCAGUCCUGCUCUUUGGACCUGGCAGGCCUGAAAAACAAAGGAGGUUCCCAGGCUACAAGCAGGAGUCCUCUGGAGACCAGGCUGGGCAGUGCAUUCACUGCUUCCUUAUCUUUGAAACCCUGGGCUCUGGCUCCCUCCGCACUCAGCUACCUUCAGUUCUGCAAUUAAGGAAGUUAAAACCUGAAGCCGGAGCAGCCCCUGUGAAUCAUGAUGCGAGUCUGCCCAAGGUUCCCUUUGGCCAAAGAUCCUCACUCAGCGUUUGGAAAGGACAACCGGUGUUCACAGUUCUUUUUCAAUGCUACACUUGUAAAAUCCAUCUGGGGAAUACUACCUCGCAGGGUGAAUUUACAGAGCGAUUGCACUUAGCUGAACUUUGGUCUUUUGUUUUGAAGGCCUCUGGGGAAGUUGAUAAAGUUAUGAUUUAUUGUUUUGUGAGGGACAUUCCAAAAAAGUAAGCAAAGGUCAUAGAGACCGACUCAAUUUUCAACUCAGUUUUGGGAGGGCUGGUGUGUGUGUGUGUGUGUGUGUGUGUGUGUGUGUGUGUCUGCUGUAUGGGCCCGAGGCAAGUGUUCUACCUCUGGGCCUCAUCUUCAGCCCAGUAGUGUGGGGGUGCAGGCCUGUAAUCCCAGCAGCUCAGGAGGCUGAGGCAGGAGGAUCCUGAGUUCAAAGCCAGCCUCUGCAAUUUAGCAAGGCCCUAAGCAACUCAGGCAGACCCUGUCUCAGAAUAAAAAAUAUAAAAGGGGGGCUGGGGUUGUGGCUCAGUGGUAGAGCACUCACCUAGCAUGUGCGAAGUCCUGGGUUCGAUCCUCAGCACCACAUAAAAAUAAAUAAACAAAAUAAAUGUAUUGUGUACAAAUAAAAAAUAAAUACUAUAUAUAUGUGUAUAUAUAUAUAUAUAUAUAUAUAUAUAUAUAUAUAUAUAUAUGGGCUGGGGAUGUGGCUCAGUGGUUUAGCCCCACUGGGUUCAAUCCCUGGUACAAAAAAAAAAAAAAAACUAUAAUACAAAAUGUGUUCUAAUUUUAAGAAAAUUUCAUAAUGUAGUAAAAAGGUUUAUUAAAAAAUGGAUUUCAUAAGGCAUACCCAAAACUAAUCAACAGGUACCCAUCUCAUCAAGUGCAUUCCAGGGGCAGGUGAUGUGAGCUGGGUUGUACCUUACCCAGUUGGAACACCAGAAUCCUAAAACCAAAUUGUUGGUUUUGGUCCACAAUUUGCUGUGUGCCUGAGUGCACUAUGUAUUUAUUUUUCAAAUGGAUGUUUUAGCAACCAGCUGAGGCCUCUGCUUCCUUCAAAUAUGCCACAAUCCUAGUUACUUCCUCCUCCUCCUUCCCUCCAGUGGGCCCAAAGUGCAAACGUAAGUAACAGAGUCCCCCCAGUAAAGGCUGACAGCCCUGUGAGCAGGCUGCUUCCCCCAGCUGGGGCAGGCCUUUUAAUAUGUACCAGCUCCCCGCCCCCCCACAAAUGAGUCUCAGUUCCCACCAUAGCUUUGCAGAACUUUACUUGGCUAGAAGGAUCUGUCUCCUGCAAAGUAGACAAUUAAAAUAGAUUUUUUUAAUUUGCAGAUAAACACAUUUUAAUGCAGCGAUAGCUCUUGAACUUCUCACUCCCAGCCUAAUCUUUAAUUUGUCCCAGAAAUGCAGAAACCUUGAAGUGUUCUUUAAAUAUAAAGAUCAAAAAGAAAAAUUUAAAAAAGGCACUAAAAGCUUUAAAAGAUACCUGUCCAAAUUACCCUAUAAAGAGCCCUUUAAAAAACAAAACUCCACAUUCCCAGAGAUUAACUGCAGGGGAUCUAUGUUGAGAGUGAUGUGAUGUUGUCAUGAAUGAUCAUGAUAACCGACAAAACGACAAAACGGAAUCAGCCUCAGUGUGGGGCCUCACAGUUAAAGAAGUAAACAGAAAAAAAAAAAAAAAAAAGGUCUCCUGUGUAAGAAGUGUUUCAACAUGAACUGCUGUCAAAGGGGGUUUUAAAGUAAAACCUGGUUGGGAAUGUAGCUCAGUGGAUGAGCCUCUGCCCUGGGUUCCAUCCCCAGCACUGAAAAAAAAAAUAAAGUAAGAAAAGCAAAGAAAAAUAAAAAAUAAAAAGAAAGAAAGAAAAGAAACCAAAGCAUGGAAGAACUGCUUCCUAUGUACAGUGGAAAAGUUUACCCAAAUGACAAGCUGUCGUGUGGGGACGUCUCAACAACAUUCUAGUUUGUUUCCUCAGAUCAAAAAGCAGAGACACAAGCUCAGCAUUUCUAUCUGUGCUGUGGGUCAUCUUCCCUGUUCCCUGGAGUAAUCAUAUGCUGCAUCCAUGAAGCAACUGUCUAACACCUGAAUGUUCUCAGUACAAAGACCAGUGGGGUCAUAUGACAAGGCUAUAUUUAGAGAAGGACUCUGUUUUCUGUUUUGCUCAGCCCUCACCAUUUUCUGCUCCAAAGAGGAGUUUCAAAUGCACAUUGAUCUUUCUCAUUUCGUGAAUGAACUGAAUUAGCACCUGUUUUCAACUGCCAAAAAAUGCACUUUUAUUUUUUUUAAAUGGGGAAAGAGAAGUCUGUGUGCUGUUAAGUCAACAUGGGAGGUAUGUUUUUUUUUUUUUCUUUUUUCCUACUUUCUUCAAAAGAACUCAACCAGAAGGAACAAAAGAAAGAGGAUUCUCCCUUUUGGCAGAAACCUACAGUCACUUGAGCUGUAACUGGGAUAUCCCGGGGAAGAGGUCAGGUCCUGGCGGAUGUAUCAGCGCCCACGCAGGAAAACACCAAAAUGUGUUUGCUAAAUCAGGGGAGGAAGCCCCUCCCUCCGAGGACAGUUGGAGAUAUGAUAGAGCACUUGCCAGGCAUGCGUACCCUGCUUCAAAACCAGCAUGAGGGCGUUGGGGGCAGGGGUUGAAGAGGUUCAACUAUGAAGGUGUAAAGCCUUCGCCCACAAAACAGAGGUGCCAAAGGCAGUGCUAAAAGACAAGGAUGACUUCGCAUUUAGAGAUGGUGACACUCUUGGGACAUACAUAGACUAAAAUAAAUGACUGCUGAAGCUGCCACCGAUGCAGUUCUGAAAACUCUCAGCAUGUACAUAAUCCCCAGGCCUCUCUUUUAGAAUCCACUGGUAUCUAAUCUAAUAAUAAUAGGAACUGAAAAGAUAAAGCUCAGCGUGCUGCGUCCUGCGCCCUCCUGGAAGGUUCUCCUGGGGACUGUGCCCAGGUCUAGUGUGGAGGAGGCCUGGGAGCGAGGUCGAGCCUCUGCGGAGCCCGGUGUUCGGGAGCUGGACUGUGCGGCUCGGGGCAGAGAAUGCAGAACAUGAACUGUUCCACUUUCCAGCUAAUAUUUGAGCACCUGCUGUAUGUGAAGUGUCGCUCAAGAAUAAGACAAAGUCCUGGCCCUCCUGGAACCCGUGGUCUCGACAGAGAAGGCAGACGUCAGACUAAACGUGCGAAUUUAUGAGUUAGGCCACGGAGUCUGGGGAGCAGGGGAGGCGCCUGUGUGUGGAGGCAGUUGGGGUGAAGUGGCCCCCGGCCACCAAGGGUCUCUGGACAGCAGAACAAGCAGCCAAGAGAAAGGGACAAGGGCCCUGGGCCGAGUGCCCUGGGCUGGCAGGGCAGGGCAGGGCAGGGCGGUGGGCAGGGCUGGACCAGGAGGAAAGGGGCAGGACUAGAUCCGCAAGGCUGGACCCGGUGAGUGCUUCCUGGGGAGUCUGCUGGGAAAACGGAAAGGCCCCUGGGGGGUCGCGGGGAGGGGCGACAGGCACCCGAGUGCGUGCCCUUUUCCCUCCCACCCGUUGCCAUGGCCUCUGUUUUCAGCGUGGUGGCCCCAUGAGGACAGCCAGGUGUACAUCCCAUAGCAGGGCCUUUCCUGAUUGUCACCUCCCGUAUCCAGCAGCUCUCUGGACGGCUGCCCUCUCGGACACCCAGACACCCGGAAGGUUCUCAAGCUCAGCGCCACCCACCAGGAGCACCACGGCCUCCCCCCCCCCCCAGCCCGCUCCUCCUCAGGCUUCCCUGUCCCAACACAGAAAAUUCAGGAUUUAUUGGCUCAGCCUCAAAGCCUCGGUUGGCCUCGACUGCCUCCUCCUGUGUCCAUUCCACAGCAAACCCCGCUGACUCCGCUUCAGAGGGGGCCCAGAACCCCGAGGGCCAGGCCACUGGCUUUUCUCUUUCCAUAUCUGUUCCCUUUUCCAUUUGUUCUUUUUCAUUCUGUGUCUCGGCUUCUCGCUGGUGCUGGAGAGGGAACCCCGGCCUCCAGCCAGGCAGACCCGCACUCUCCCUAAGACACGGCCAGCCUUCCUUUGCCUUCCCAUGCACCCAGGCUGGCCUCAGGCUCCUGGCUCAGGCUGUCCUCCUGCUCCAUCUUUUUUUUUUUUUUUUUUGGCAGGGGGGUACCAAAGAUUGAACCCAGGAACACUUAACCACUGAGCCACAUCCCAGCCCUUCUUGUAUUCUAAUUAGAGACAGGGUCUUGCCAAGUUGCUUAGGGCCUUGCUAAGUUGCUAAGGUUGGCCCUCCACUUGCAAUCCUCCUGCCUCAGCCUCCUGAGCCACUGGGAUUACAGACGUGUACCACUGUGCCCGGCUAUCCUGCCUCAUUUCUAAAGUAGGCGGGACUACAGGCACAUGCCACCACAGCCAGCUUUGGUCUGUCCUUAAAAUAGUUCCAUCAGUGAGCAAUGGUACAUGCCUAUAAUACCAGUUUAGGAGGCAGAAGAGGGAGGAUCAUAAAUUCAAGACCAGCCUCCACAAUUUAGCAAGAUCCUGUCUCAAAAGGGACAGUGAUGGGUUCAAUCCCCAAUACCUACCAACCAAUCAACCAAUCAACAAAUAAAAUAAACAAAAAGAGCUUCAACUCCCAGCUAGACUACAUCACCUGUCACUUCAAAACUGCCAUGGCUGCCAUCUCCCUGGGCUAGGAGCCAAAGCUCUUACCAUACAUGCUGCUUUUCUGACCCUCCCUGCUUUCUGGCCUUGCCACUCUGUACUGAUCACAAUGAGCUCCCUUAUCUUGCCAGGAACACAGCAGACAUGAUCCUACCACAGGACCUUUGCGUCUGCUAUGAUAUCUGCUUAGAUGUACCCCCAGAUAAAUGCAAGACCUGCUCCGUUACCUAUUCCAGGUGUCUCUUCAACUGAUACCUGAUGGCAGGAGUCAGCCAACAUUUUCUGCUAAGAGCCAGAAUGUAAAUCUUUUAGGCAUUGUGGGCCACCAGGUCUCUGCUGCAACUACUCAGCUCCACUGCUGUCAGGGAGGAGCAACCACAGACAAUACUUAAGCAACAACAAACACGCUGUGUUCCCAUAAAACUCAACAAACACUGUAGUGGGACUUCACGUGACGUUCAGGUGUCAUCCACCAUUCUUCCUUUGACUUUUCCCCAACCGUUUUAAAAGGUAGGGCUAGGAGUGAGGCUCAGGGGAACAGCGCUCACCCAGCAUCCCCAUGGUCCUGGGUUCAGUUCCCAGCAGCACAGAAAAUAUAUCAAUAAAAUAAAACAGAAAUGUAAAAAUCGGCUGGGCACGGUGACACACGCCUGUAAUCCCAAUUACUCAGGAGGCCAAGGCAGGAGGAUUGCAAAUUCAAGGCCAGCCUGCCCAAUUUAGAGACCUUGUUUCAAAAAAAAAAAAAAAUAGGUAAAUAAAUAAAUGAAUAAAGGUAGCUGCUGGGUAGGUUCUGCGGCACUUGCCUGCCAUGUGCAAAGCCCUGGGUGUCUUUCCCAGAACCACACACACACACACACACACACACACCAAAUCCAGGUCCAACGAAGCAGGCCUCCAUGUGACCUUGGGCAAGUUACCCAGUGUGGAAAUGGGUUCCCUGAGCUAAUAGGAGUGAGUCUCUCCACACAGUUUGACACAGUGUCUGCAGUAAAUAGCAGCCACAGCUUCUUUUUCAUUAGAAAGGCAUCUUUUCUACCAAAAAAAAAAAAAGUAAUAAAAUAUAGAUCAGCAAAAACUAACAUCAGUCAGACACAGUGGUGCAUUUCUAUAAUCCCAGCAACCCAGGAGGCUGAGGCAAGAGGAUCGCAAGUUCAAGGCCAGCCUCAGCAACUUGUCGAGGCCCUAAGCAACUUAACAAGACUCUGUCUCCAAAUAAACAAUAAACAGGGCUGGGGAUGCAGCUCAGUGGUUAGACCUACCUGGGUCCAAUCCCCGGUACCAAAAUAAAAACAAUAAUAAUAAAACAUUUAAAAAUAGCAUUGUUCCAUUUUCCCCAAAUAAUUAAAAGUGCUCUACCACUGAGCCCCAGCCCUAGCUGGAGCACUUUAAGAAUAAAUUUAAAGAAUAAAUUUAUUUAUUCUUAACAAAUAAAUUUUUAACAAAUCCAGGAAACCAUCUGGGAAAUUUAAACGCUGGCAAUAUCAUUGAUGACAUUCAAGACCCACUGCUUAUUUUGUGAGGUGUGACAGGAUAGACCUCCCCCCCACCUCCCCCGCCACUGGGGAUUGAAUCCAGGGAAACUUUUACCACUCAGUUACAUCCCCAGCCCUUUUAAUUUCUUAUUUUGAAACAAGGUCUUACUAACUUGCUGAGGCUGGCUUCAAACUUGAGAUCUUCCUGCCUCAGUCUCUUCAGUGGCUGGAAUUACAGGUUUGUGCCACCAGCCCUGACUGUGAGUAUGCUUUUAAAAGGAGUCCUUAAACUGGGUGCAGUGGCACAGUGGGGCACGCCUAUGAUCCCAGGAUCUUGAGGCAGGAGGAUCACAAAUUCAAGGCCAUUAGCAAGGCCUGUAGCAACGGAGACCAUCUCAAAAUAACAAAAUAAAAAGGACUGGGGAGGUAGCUCAAUGGAAUAGCACCCCUGGGUUCAAUCCAGGUAACAACAACAACAACAAAGUCUCUAGUAUCUUUUAGAGAUACUAAAGUGUCAGUGAAUAAAAUUUUAUGGUAUCUAGAAAUUUCAUCUAGACGAUAGUCACCAGUAUUCCCAGCCACUCGGGAGGCUGAGGCAGGAGGAUCACAAGUUCAAAGUCAGCCUCAGAAAUUUAAUGAGGCCUUACGCAAUUUAGCAAGACUGUUUCAAAAUAAAAAUAAAAAGGGCUAGGGAUGCUGUAGCUCAAUGGUUAAGUGUCCCAGGCUCAAUCUCCAACACAAAAUAUACAUAUGUAUAUAUAUCGUUUCCUCUCUAUAUAUACUCUCUCUCUCUCUCUCUCUCUAUAUAUAUAUAUAUAUAGAUACAAAGAUAGAUAGAUAUAGAUAUAUGUGUAUAUCUAUAUAGAUAUAGAUCUAUACAGAGAGAGAGAGAGAGAGAGAGAACGCGUACACAGGAGUAGGGUUCACACUACGCCAGGGGAUCAUGAGUUGACCAUUAUUAAACUGUACGAUGGGUAGGUGCAGUGGUUUGAAUGGCCCCUCCCCAGUAGCACUGUUGGAAACCUGACCCCAUGCUGCAGUGUUGGAGGCGUCUGGGUCUUGAGGGCUCCCCCUCCUGAAUGGGUUCCUGCCCAUCUCGAGGGCUGGCAGCAGCUGGCACUAUAGUAGUGCACACUUAUAAUCCUACCACUGAGCUACAUUCUCAGCUCUUUUUAUUUUUGUCUUGAAACAGAAUCUUGCUAAGUACACAGACUGACCUCAAACUUGCGAUCCUCCUGCCUCAGCCUCCUGAGUUGUUGGGAUUACAGGUGUGGGCCACUGUCCCCAGCUAAUAACCUAUGUUCUUUAUAAGUUCCCCCGUCUCAGAUAUUCUGUUACAGCAUAAUAAAAUGGACUGAGACAGUGGAUGGAGGUUUAUUCUGCUCUUCUCUCUACUUUUGUAUUUGCUUAAAAGUGUUUAUAAUUAAAAAAAAAAAAAGGCGGGGUGGGGAAGCUGGGGGUGUGGCUCAGCGGUAGAGCACUUGCCUAGCACUUGCCAGGACCUAGGUUCAAUCCUCAGCACCACACAAAAAUAAAUAGAUAAAAUAAAGAUAUUGUGUUCAACUACAACUAAAAAGUAACUAUUGAAAACUGGCUGCCAGGUCAGGGGCCACUGGUUACCCUGUGUCUUCUCCUCCUCCUCAGCUAUAAAGCCCCCAUCUUGAGAGGCUGUGUGCCCACGCAGACAGCAAGGCAUGUUUCCAAGAUUUCCUAGUCCCAAGAACAGCCACAUGACACCCAUUCUGCAAUAUUUGAAAGAAAUGGCAUAUUUGACUUCUUGAAAGUGUCUUUAGCUAGGCGUGGUGGUGCACACCUGCAAUCCCAGCAGCUCAGGAGGCUGAGGCAGGAGGAUCACAAGUUCAAAGUCAGCCUCAGCAACAGCAAGACACUGAGCAGCUCAGUGAGACCUUGUCUUUAAAUAAAAUGCCAAAUAGGGCUGGGGAUGUGGAUCUGUAGUCGAGCGCCCCUGAGUUCAAUCCCCAGUACCAAAAUAAAAAAGUGAAAGUGUCUUUAGACUGGGGAUGUGGCUCACUGGUAGAGUGGUUUGAUCUCCAGUCCUGUCCCCACUCCCCGCCCCUGACCAAAAAAAAAAAAAAUGCCUUUAAAGAGGCACAUCUUUUCUUCUGAUCUCCAGCUAUUCUUUCUGCUUGUUGCAAUAUAGUCUGGUAGCUGGAGCCUCAGCAGCCAUGUUGGAUCAUGAGGCAUAAGCUGGAUGAAAUGAUGUUGUGACAGGAAGAAGGAAGGAGUCCAGUUCCUGGUUGCACGGAACAUCCUUGAUUAACUGCCUCCAAAUUUAUUUUUCAUGAGGAGGAAAUAGGGCUCUUUUACUUGUUUAUUUUUCAGAGACAGGAUUUUACUGUGUUGCUUAGACUGCCCUCAAAUUCCUGGGCUCAAGAGAACUUCCUGCCUCAGCCUCCUGAGUUGUGGGGAUUGCAGAUAUGUGCCACCGCACCUGGCAGCCACUGAACUCUUUCCUACAAUAAAAUCAUUUAAACCCCC